AAACAUGGAUUGGAUUAAAACAAAGCAUUGAUUUAAUUUAAAAAGAUAAGGAAGAUACAAUCAGUAAUACCAUGAAUCUACACCCGUAAAUAUGAUUACAAAGUCAAUGACUUCUCAAAUGGUACUCUUCCUAAUUCACAAACAAAUGCAUAUAAUCAACACACGAGACAAGGGGCGGGUAAAAACAAGGAACAAUGAGGUUAUUUCACGUAUAAUUUUAAAAUUAAAAUAACCCACAUCUUCACAAAAUCAGUCCAAGUAAAAGG
rnacentral:lncRNA from 1 species